AACACGCUCCUUAGAUCCACCUCUAGAGGGCGCUGUGCUGGGAGCAUCUGCUCUGCAGAACAGCCCCUCAGCAGCCUUUCAGCUGUACAUUUGGAGGUGCUUGAGUCAUUGGCGUGUAAGAGCAGUCCACCUGUCCUUCAGCCCGUCUGCACAGCUGGCAACACUGCCCUCUACAGGCAGGGUGCUCCCAGUUGUGCAAGUCUGUGGGACAGACAUA